UUAAAAUUAACUUGGGAAGGCAAUAAGGAAAUUAAGGCACGAAGGAAAUUAAGAAAUGUAUGUAAAAAUGUAUACGUACUGCAGUAUUAUUAUUUCUCGGUGGUGAUUAGCGCUCACCGCAGGGAAGUCCUGCUGUCUGGAAAUUGGCUUUGCCUCCUAGGAAACCUGAGGAAAACGCUGCCCUACUUAAUGCUGCUGUAGCUCUUAGGAGAAGCUUGAAAUUAAAUAGAUACAGGGUUUUCUUUCAAAAUACUCUCUUGAAUAAAUUAGUUUGCAUCCAGAAAUGGCAUCUGUUUUCCUUGGCUCGGAUAUUUCUCUAGAAGUGUUUAGGUAUGCAGCUCACACUUAAACCGGUGCUUAAUAUCUGAGCAGUUCUGUGUUGUUCUGAGUUAGAAACACUGUUUUAACUCAAAGUUUUAAAUGCAGAAAUGCUGUGGGGUCAGUAACCCUGGGAGAGGGGGAGGAUGGGCACUUAGACAUCAGACCUCAUGAGGUGAAAGAUAGUGUUUGGAAGAAGUAAGUGGCCUGGUGUUCAGUAACAUAUGCCUAACUAUAAACCUUCUCUUUUAUACUUGAGGAAGAAGCUGAAAGCACUGGACACACCUCUGUUUCUGUUGGAGGUCGCUUGCUGAUUUAUCUCCAAUUCACAGCUCAUUAGAAGAAGGGCAGCUUUUCCAUGGUUUUGGUGUUUUUGAGGAAGGUGUGAUGCCUUCAGGAUGUACCAGUGAGAUUUUGAAGAGUCUGUGUGAUGAGUGGGCAACACAGUGCCCCAUUGUUUUCAGCUCCUCCAAGCUCUAUGAUGAAGCAUCUGGAGCCUCAUCUUGAAUAGUCUUGGGAGGGCCAAAGGUGCUUCCUUUCCCAGUUCAGUGGCCAGCUUGGUGGGUUUUUGAAGAUACAAUUUUUUAGUGUCUGAACAGGGAAAUCACAGCUAUUUACACGAGAAGAAUCAUGGAGAUGACAGGGCUUCCCCCCCAAAACACUCUGUGUAAUCGCUGAAGACAUUCCAAGCCACUCUAACGAAGUGUACUGUCUGCCAGUCAUUAUGCUCUUCUUGGAGACCAUCUGUUGCACUUCAAAUAUGUAAAGGUCUGCUAUCAUUUAUUGCACCAAACAAAUCGGUUUCUUUGUCUGACAUGCUAUAACUCCUGCAUGUGGACUGCAGGUAGUUUCAGUUGCAAAGAGCAGGAGAUUCUCUUUUGUUCCACCGUAAAUGAAAUGUACUCGUCCAUCUCAAAUCUCAGAAGACAAACGUACCGAUUAAUCUCAGUGCUUUUGAAUAAUUUCGAUUUAUUUGGCAACAAAAUCUUAACAACAACAAUGAAAAAAAUCUGAAAUAUAUUUUCUCUUAAGUCAGCCAGAAGCACAUUGCAAGAUUUUUGCUUCUGGUGAAUGAACCUUUCCAUUGUAGUGGUAUCCAGCCUUGACAUAUACUGACAUUUGAAUUAAAAUGAUCUUAACUAAAUUCUUUAAUUAGCUUAUUUUUAUCUGAAACUUGUUUAUUCAAAGAAACUUUCAGUGGUAAAAAAUAGUCAGCCACUAGAACUGGUAGAACCUUUCUUCUGAUAAGCACGUGUCCUUUACAAGGGUGAUUGUAUGAAUUAACUAGGAUCCUUUCCAUGAAUAAAAGGUGUGAGAUCAGGCACUAAA